GUUUAAAAUGGAAAUGUACUCCAUUGCAACUUUUCCUAGUUUUAUACUUUCAGAUUCAUGAAGACACUGAAAAGUGAUGAAUCCACAUAACCAUGACACUGGAAAUGAAGUUUGAGUGGCAGUCGGAAUCUAGGAGGAAGCAUUGCUAAGUAAAAAUUUUAUGGAGCUUGACUAAAAAUCCCUGUCAGGGACCAUCAAAAGUUCAGUCCGUGACAUGAAAAAUCUUGCUGGAAGUUGAGAGAAGUUUCUGCCUACUCCAUGAUCCAGGAACACAAGACCUUUACCAACCAGAAAAGUGGAUAGCUGUUCUUCUGCUGGGAAGGUUAAAAAAGGUUGACCACUGCUAUUGCCAUAACUCUGGUCCUGCUGUCUACGCAUACUACUGUUGUGACUUCCAGAAGGUGGGACUUGAUAAACCACGCACACUUCCAGUGUUUGGUCAGGGUGACCCUGGGUGCUGCAAGGAUGGACAGUGCUGUUGGCAAGAGAUGACUCUGGUCAGAUUAGAUAAAGACCAUUUAGGGACAUGGAGAUA
rnacentral:lncRNA from 1 species